GCCACAUCCAGAUUAAUUUUUCUGACGACUCGCAAUUAUUUUUCACGCACUCAUUGGAGAUUUCAGUCCCAGUUUUUUUAAAUAUGGAUUCUGUAUUCUCCCUCCAAAAUUCUGCGAUCAACCUGUCUGACCUAGACGACCAGACACAAGCAUUAUGUGGGAUUUUAACGUACCAUUUUAUUUCACAUUACGAUGUGGCUCAUAGGAAUCUCCUAAAAUAUUUUCAUGCAUCAAGUGCGAUGGACUGCUUCGAGAUUUUACAUCAAAUCCGUCCGGACCUCUCCAUAUUAGGCGAACCUAGUAGGACAAAGCUUCUUUCUCGCCUGAAUGCAAAUUCAGAAGAAAUUUUUCGGAUCCUUCAAGUGGACCCCCUUCAAUUGCAGGACCCUAUUUAUGUUGAGGUCGAGUGCAAGAGGUGCACGAAAUAUGGGAAGAAGAAAACACCUCGGUUCCUUCGUCGCCUUCUCAAGGUUUGGUCGUUCUUGUGGGAUUAAAAUUAUUACUUGCGUAAAAAAAUUACAUAUGAAUAUGUGCAUAUGCAGAUAAUAGUUUUAUACAACAUUUUAUUCACGUCAACGUUUUAUUCACACAUUGAACAUGUAUAUUGUUAAUUUAUGCCAUUAUAAAAUCGUUUCAUGAAGUUUUAUAUUUUGUAAAUUACAUUUUAAAUUCAGUUAGUCACACUGAAGAAUUUUCUUCUAAAAUGCUCCAAACUUAAUAAUAGAAUUUAGAGUUUAAAUUGGAUCUUUUGAUAUCGUCACAAACUUUUUAUUUGUAUUCAAUUUUACAGCUUUGUCUAAAUUAAAUACAUAGUGCUCAGGCAUCCUUGCCGUGAUUUUGUUUCCUUCGCCAAAAUUCUUCUAUUAAUUUACAGUUAUUCUGAAAGAAUUCUAAAUAUUAUAUAGUAUUUAUAGUGUAUGUAUUAAAUUCAGAAUAUUAAACAAAUAAAAUUGACACGACAAAAUGAUACUUAAAUAAAUGAGAAAAUUUUAUUGAUAAUAAUAAACUAUGUAUGUAUGUAACUAUUUAUCUAAGUUGUAAAUUAAUUAAGUAUUUUAAUUCUGUUAAACGCAGGCAUAAUUUCUGAAGCACGGCAAAGUAAUUCAUAUAGGCAAGCAACUUUCAAAAUUAUAAAAAAUAGCAGCGAUGUGAUUAUCAACGUGCAAGCUGGGAAAAUACGUAAAAAGUGUUUCCAUCUUGAGCUUGGAUAUCCGGGUGGUUAUCCUUGUACGUGCGAGAAAUAGUUAUUAUAUCUCUUCCCGAGUACUGUGGAGAAACCAAGGGUCUAGGCCCCUCCACAGAGGUCACACACAAGGGGUAGUGGUCAUAGUUUCCCAAUAGAUCACAUGACUAAUAUAAGGCCCCACACCUAAACGCACUAUUAAAAAAGAACCAAUAAAUCAUUACUCACCGCACUACCUAUCAGUAUGACUCUAUCCGCAGGACAAUAA